GUCCUACGGGGGGCAGCAGUAAGGGAUAUUGGUCAAUGGGGGAAACCCUGAACCAGCAACGCCGCGUGAGGGAAGACGGUUUUCGGAUUGUAAACCUCUGUCCUCUGUGAAGAUGAUGACGGUAGCAGAGGAGGAAGCUCCGGCUAACUACGUGCCAGCAGCCGCGGUAAUACGUAGGGAGCGAGCGUUGUCCGGGUUUACUGGGUGUAAAGGGAGCGUAGGCGGCCUGGCAAGCCUGAUGUGAAAUACCGGGGCCCAACCCCGGGGCUGCAUUGGGAACUGCCAGGCUGGAGUGCCGGAGAGGG
rnacentral:rRNA from 1 species